AAGAGAACCCGGCCGGCCAAAUCCAAAUAGAUCUAUCAGCACUUGUUCUAUUUGAUUCAGAGAUUUUCAUCUGCAAUUUCUCCGAAAUCAGCAUGAACGAUCCCAAGUACCCAUACCCAUAUCCUGGCCAAGCCCCUUAUCAGGGGCCUCCAGUGAUGGCGCCGCCUCAGUACGCCGCUCCGCAGUACGCGCCUCCCCCACCUCCUCCGCCUCCACCUCCACAGAACGAUCGCGGCUGUAUUGCAGGAUGCCUUGCAGCUUUGUGUUGUUGCUGUAUCUUGGAGGAAUGCUGUUGCUUGUGACCCCAUUGCGUCGGUGGCCGAUCGGAGAGCACAAGUGCAGUGUCAUUUCAGACACCCAUUUCAAUCUACUAUGGUCCUAUACUAUGCUAAUAUGUAGCCAAGCCUGUAAUAGACUU